GGUUAAGCGACUAAGCGUACACGGUGGAUGCCCUGGCAGUCAGAGGCGAUGAAGGACGUGCUAAUCUGCGAUAAGCGUCGGUAAGGUGAUAUGAACCGUUAUAACCGGCGAUUUCCGAAUGGGGAAACCCAGUGUGUUUCGACACACUAUCAUUAACUGAAUCCAUAGGUUAAUGAGGCGAACCGGGGGAACUGAAACAUCUAAGUACCCCGAGGAAAAGAAAUCAACCGAGAUUCCCCCAGUAGCGGCGAGCGAACGGGGAGCAGCCCAGAGCCUGAAUCAGUGUGUGUGUUAGUGGAAGCGUCUGGAAAGGCGCGCGAUACAGGGUGACAGCCCCGUACACAAAAAUGCACAUCUGGU
rnacentral:rRNA from 1 species